GAAGUUUGGAUCGCGCAAGAAAUGGUGUCUACUGUGACGAUGGACGAUGGAUUGGAGAACGGGAGAUGGGGAAUGGAUUCAUAAUGAUGAACAGAUCAAUCCAGGGGCAAUUCUAGCAAGAAAUGACAUGGCAAAUACUUGAAUGAAUGUGAAUCCAAAUGAAACGAGGAGGAAGGCGGCCUGGCGUAACCUGUAUCUUUAAUUUUGCAAAUGCAAAGAGGGGAAGUCAUUGAAUGUAGUGUCAUUAAGAGAUACCCGAGAUAGAGCACGCAGAUUUGGCAAUUUGCUCAGAAAGGCCGAAACAAAGUCACUUUGCUUUUGAACUAUUCGGAGAUUUGUUUAUUUCUUUUUUUGCUUGCUUUCUCACCCUAGCAUGCAUCGGCUGCAUGCACCAGUUGUCUAUAGCAAACCACCAGUUUAUCUAGUACACUACGAGUUUUUUGCGUGGCUCCAUCUUUUGUAAGGUAGCUAGUGAUUAAUAACAUGAUAUCCAUGUUUUGCAG
rnacentral:lncRNA from 1 species